GCUCCAGUAGCGUAUAUUAAAGUUGUUGCGGUUGAAAAGCUCGUAGUUGGGUUUCUGCGGAGGAAGCGCGGUCCGCACUUGGUGCGUGUAUCUGGUCUACCUACGCAUCUUCCAGUGAACGCUACUGCGCUUUAUUGCGUGGCGCGGCAAUCUGGACUUUUUACUUUGAGGAAUUGGAGUGUUUACAGCGAGCGAUUGGU
rnacentral:rRNA from 1 species